ACAGAUAGACCCUAGAAGGGGACUCCGGUGCCUUGCGAGCAGGCUGACCUGAAUCUUUUUGCGGCAUGUACUACCAUUUCUGUGGGUGAUGGUCGAAACACAAGCUUUUAGAACCAAAGAUGGUUGAAGAGACAUGCCCCUAAGGAGAUUCCUCCUGAUUUGUUCAAGCUGGCCAGAUCUAAGAAGCUGUCUGUUUGUGAAGCUUUGUCCAAUGAUGCUUGGAUGAGAGGGUUGAGGAAUAUAAACACUCCGAUGCUAAUGGACUCCUUCAUUAAACUUUGGUGGACUUUGCAAGGAACCUCGUUGCAACCUUGGCCUGACUCAAUUGCGUGGAACCUAACAGCAAAUGGAGUGUACUCUGCAAAAUCGGCCUAUCACUUUCAGUUCCUAACUCGCAUUCCACAUCCUCAUCUUCAGCGAGUUUGGAAUAUCAAAGCGGAGGGGAAGAUCAAUUCUUUUGCAUGGACUCUGCUUCAGAACAGAUUAUGGACGGUUGACAGACUUCGGGCUCGUAAUUGGGAUCACAAUGAUGCUUGCUCGUACUGUGACCAAACCUUAGAAUCUGCCAUGCACCUGAUCCUUGAUUGCCCUUUUGCGAAAGAGGUUUGGCUCAAAGUUAGUGGCUCUUACCCUGCCGCUGCUCAAGCAGCCUUGGGUGCAACAUCCAUCCUGGACUGGUGGAGUAAAGUGAGAAGCCUGAAGAAGAAAGGCAAUGCUACUGAUGAAUGCACAGCGGUAGUGUAUAUUGCAUGGCACCUCUGGAUUGAGAGAAACAACAGAGUUUUCAAGGCCUCGUCGAGCUCUAAUUCUACUUUGCUGCUUCUUGCAAGAGAUGCGAUCAGCCUCCUUAAGGAGGCAGGGGAGCAGUAG
rnacentral:rRNA from 1 species